rnacentral:rRNA from 1 species
UACGUAGGGUGCAAGCGUUAAUCGGAAUUACUGGGCGUAAAGCGUGCGCAGGCGGUUGUGCAAGAGCGAUGUGAAAUCCCCGGGCUCAACCUGGGAAUGGCAUUGGUGACUGCACGGCUAGAGUGUGUCAGAGGGGGGUAGAAUUCCACGUGUAGCAGUGAAAUGCGUAGAGAUGUGGAGGAAUACCGAUGGCGAAGGCAGCCCCCUGGGAUAACACUGACGCUCAUGCACGAAAGCGUGGGGAGCAAACAGG